UUUCGUUUUGAUCAUGAUUGAAAGUGUCAAAAGUGCAGUAAGGAGACCGAAGUGACUUGAUUAGGAAUAUAUUUGUUAAAUACAAAAUUGUGUGCAUGUUUUUUAAUUGUCGUGUAUGAAUGGCAUGGCAGUGUACUCUCGGACUAGCUGCAAACUUCAGCACAAGGGCAACUAGCACUCGUUCUCCCGAGGAGGCCUUCCUAUAACAAUAUAGUACAUAUUAGUGAUCAAGUACAAUAGAGUCGGUGGAUGCUUCUCAUGUAAUACUUGAAAAUGGAAAAUAUUAUGACCAAUGUUUUCAUUGCUGGGCUCCCAGCGUGUGCCAUAUAUUUUCUUUACGCCAACAUUUAUUGCUCUUAUAAACUACUGAAAGCUAAUGUGGUGUUUGACAGUCGUCGAGCAUUCCAAGUUUUGCCUACCUUUUUCUCAGAUAUGUAUUCAGAGCUCUUAUCAAAAGACAGGGGCAUUUGUACUUUUGCGAUAGAGAUGUCGAAGAUGAAGUUGCCUUCACCAUCUUUAACUGCAGGUUGAACAAGGAUCGACUGAGGAGGUUCUGUAGUGCAGCUGGAUAUGGCUGGGAUUGAGUUCAGGGAUACCCCUCUGUGUUACCCAGACACCCUCUGUCUGCGGAUGCUUGACAUAUUCAUAUCUGCUGAGAAGUUCAGAUUGAGCCCUCUGGGUAAGUAACACAUCUUCUGCUGGCUGGGUAUUGCAUGUCUUUGAAGGCCAUCCAAAUGUCAACACUCAAGGUACUCGGUUUUCUUCCUACAUUUCUGUAGAAUAUAUUAAUUCAAUUCAGCCAAAUGUGUAGUUCAUACAAAAUCCCUCCACUUCAAUACAUUGUUUCCUUCGGUCUAGUCCGGGUACGUCAGAGUUUGAGAACAUGGCAGCCGAUAGAUGAGCUGAAGAAGGGACCCUUCAAGUUGCAGGCUCGUGUGUUAGAGUACAGGGUUGUUGAAGAUGGGGUGGAGGUUGACAUUUCUUUAACUGCCAUUUCACACACUGACCAGCCAGUAUGGGAGAGUGUUUUGACAAUGCUCUCCCAGGACAGAGGCCGAACACCAAACACACAACCUAAACCUGAGUGGUAUGAUGGUGAGUAAGGCCAAUACUUAAGUUAAUGAAUUCUACAUUUUGCCACCAGUCAACAAACCUGAGGAAGUUGAAUUAAAUUGUUCUAUUCAAGUUUGAGUAGCACAGAACCCACAUCAUAAACCAAUAUAUUUUCUUACACUUUGACAGGUCACAUGGACACAUCAGAGCCAGAUGACGUGAAGGCGGUAGAUAUCAAUGUUCCCUGGACUACAGGACUGAAGUUUGUGUGGGCUUUCUCUGACUACUCUCCACGUUGUCUCCUAACUCUUUCUGCUAAACUCUUGGGCUGCAGAUGUACCCCAACUCCUAGUCUAUGGAUGCUGUCUAAAUGCUUGGCUGAAAUUGAAAAGCACAAAGGAGUUGAUGCCAUUAGAGCCCCCAUCUCUGUCACCGCCCAGUUCAAGGAACCGUUGUUGUUACCAGGAAAAGUGACCAUCAAAUUUUGUGAGAGUGCGGGAGUGCAGUCCAAAUGUGUUAGCUUCCAAAUGGAGCAAUAUGAGAGGAAGAUACCUCACAUCACCGGACAAAUCUGCAGGACUACUGUAGAGGACGUGAAUUAAAGAUGAAAACGGCGCCAAUGGCCACACCAGCACCGUUAUUGUUUUUGUUGCAGAGAUGAGGAGCAUCACGUAGCAUAGUAAAAACAAAAAUGCAAUACUCUUCUAUGAUGUGUUAAAUAAUGUCAGAGUUGAAAAAACUGUUUGUUGUUUGCAGUAACUUCUUCGUUGUAAUAUCGCAAAUGGUGUGGCUGCUUCACCAAUAAGGAUUCCAGCUUUAAGAUGAUCAGUUAUGACAUGACAUUGUAUAAAUAUUAGGUAGAUGAAAGUCAUAAUAAUAAGGGAUGAUUGUGUAAUUAUUAGUGGAAUGACAUCUCAUCUUUGCCAUUAUGUGGCAUCUUAGUCAGUGCGGCAUAGGCUUCAUGGCCCAGCAGGUGAUUUACACAAAUGUAUCUUCAAUCCAAAGUACCCCAAUACUGCUACCCUCUAGAGUAGAUAUUUACAUCAAACAAGAACUGCAGUCUUAAGGCAUUUUCUGUGUCCUCUAUGUCCACAGAAGCACCAUAAGCUACAGUAUUAGGCGUAUGCUGAUGCAGACAAGGUCCCUACAGGGAAUGGAGACUUGAAUAUUUGAUCUGUUUGAUAUUCUUGUUCCUUGCCUUCAUGUAUAUGAAGGUAUUUUCUCUUUUAUUACUCAUUGUAAAAUGGAGUUGUAGGCAGGAAAUAUGAAGAGGAACAUAAACAGUAUUGUUCACUGAAAUGCUUUGUAGAGAUCCAUGAAUUAAACUAUACCUUAAGUUUAAUGUCAGUAUUUACAUAUUUCUGCCAAACUUCAAAGAGUGGUGAUUAGAUUCUGCCUAGGAGUAAAAUGUUAAAUAAAUAUCACUAAAAUCAAUUGUAGUUUCAGUUCAUGUGGUGAAAAUAAUUAUCUUUAUUGUGAGUGGAUUAGGUGAAGUAAUAUUAUGAUAUUGUUUGCAUGCCCAUAGAGAUGUAUGUAAUUCUGCAUUUGUAGAGUUGGAAAUGACAUUUUAUGUAACCUUAAAUCAUGUGAUCAGAAGCCCGGAUCUCUCCGGCCUUACUGUAUACGGUGGUUGUGUAAUCAAAAGAGCAUCCCGUGACUGCCUCUCAUUGCACAGAGAGUAUAUGUGUUUUUUUCCAGUAUUUGAGGGAAAGAGAGGGGAUUAGGUUGUGAAGAAAAGCAUCCGUUAGUAGACCUUCAUACCACCGAAUAACUGAACAGCACCUGACAAUAUUUAGUCUGACUGCCCACUGAUGAAAUCCUGCCAAUACGUCCCACAUGUGACGUGAUUUACAUUACUGUAACCCCCUAACAUUUUGAAGAAGGAAGACUGCACAACAGACUACACAACUUUUGUGACCACAAAGCAGCAUUUACACCUCUCAUCCAUCAUUGUGCAGAGACAGAUGAAUGGAUUCUUGAACUAUUCAAGGACAUAUGAACAUGACAAUCCAGUAUUUUAAAGUGCAGCACACCUCAAGAGAAGUGCAUGAAGAAAAAUGAAAAGUAAGACCAGCGGCAUCCACCUCUCCUCUCCAGUGGCGGAGGGCCAGAGGAAGCUUGAUGGAAGCAGCUUGACAGUUUACAAUGAGGGCGUGAAGGUGGUGUAUGAGGUCGACCCUGGUGAUGUCUGCACCAUGGAGAAUGGUGCCCACUCCCAGAGACAAGGUCUGUGCAAGGUCACCAGCAGAGGAAGGAAACGUGCCCUCUCCAUCGGGUGUAGUCACCAACGGCAGGAGACAGAAAGACCUACAGGACCAGAAAGCUGGAAAUAACAGUAACUCCAUGUUGAUGUGUCAUGCCUCCAUUAGCCAGCCCUGCUCUGGGCCUGAGGACAACUCAACAGAGGCACACAAGACUUUAACAGUGACUUCAACUACGAUCUUUGUGGAUGCACACACCAUCGAUGAGUCGUCGGAGAUGCACAGCCUUUUGGGUGUAAUGGAGGUACACAUUAAGGAGUUUGUCCUCAUUGAUGAUGAUGAUGAUGACAGUGGCAUGUCCCUAAGAGAGAAGACUGUCACUGACAUGUCCAUCAUGGAUGUUAACGCUGCAGACCUGGUCUAUGGCAGACUACCGUCCAUCACUACUGACACGUCCUCUGAGUGUAAAGAGGAGAGUCUGGCCCCGGAACCUCCACCCCCUGCACUGACACUAAAAAGCAGUCCUGCUGCUUCUUUUCCAUUCAAUGAUCAUUCUAUCUGUUCCUUUUUAUGACCAUUUCAUCAAUUCACACUGUAACAGAGGCAGAGCACAAACUGUAGUUAUUUUUAGUUUUUGUAAUUUAUGUUACCAUCGGGGGGGACUUUUUGACCUUCCUGAAUCAAUCACUAUUGCCUUCAAAAGCUGCCCACUAUUCUGCACAAAAUAAAAGUGUAUUGGUUUUAAAUGAUGGUUAUUUGUCAUGUUGUCAUGUCUCACUUACAGUAUUGUGUCACUGCAAAGUCUUUUUGCAUUCUUUAUAGUUUUGGGUAAUAUAGUAGUAAAGGUGCA